GAGGUGAAGAGUAUGUGUUUGUAUUGGGUGGAGGUGAAGAGUAUGUGUUUGUAUUGGGUGGAGGUGAAGAGUAUGUGUUUGUAUUGGGUGGAGGUGAAGAGU